rnacentral:rRNA from 1 species
GAUGAACGCUGGCGGCGUGCCUAAUACAUGCAAGUCGAGCGAACAGAUGAGGAGCUUGCUCCUCUGACGUUAGCGGCGGACGGGUGAGUAACACGUGGAUAACCUACCUAUAAGACUGGGAUAACUUCGGGAAACCGGAGCUAAUACCGGAUAAUAUAUUGAACCGCAUGGUUCAACAGUGAAAGACGCUUUUGCUGUCACUUAUAGAUGGAUCCGCGUCGCAUUAGCUAGUUGGUAAGGUAACGGCUUACCAAGGCAACGAUGCGUAGCCGACCUGAGAGGCUGAUCCGCCACACUGGAACUGAGACACGGUCCAGACUCCUACGGGAGGCAGCAGUGGGGAAUCUUACGCAAGGGGCGAAAGCUUGACGGAGCAACACCGCGUGAGUGAUGAAGGUCUUCGGAUCGUAAAACUCUGUUGUUAGGGAAGAAAAAAUGUAUAAGUAACUAUGCACGUCUUGACGGUACCUAAUCAGAAAGCCACGGCUAACUACGUG